AGAAUCAACGCUGGCGGCGUGCCUAACACAUGCAAGUCGCACGAGAAAGGGUAGCAAUACCUGAGUACAGUGGCGCACGGGUGAGUAACACGUGACUAACCUACCCUCGAGUGGGGAAUAACCUAGGGAAACCUGGGCUAAUACCGCAUAACACUUACGAGUCAAAGCAGCAAUGCGCUUGGGGAGGGGGUCGCGGCCGAUUAGCUAGUUGGCGGGGUAAUGGCCCACCAAGGCAAUGAUCGGUAUCCGGCCUGAGAGGGCGCACGGACACACUGGAACUGAAACACGGUCCAGACUCCUACGGGAGGCAGC
rnacentral:rRNA from 1 species